rnacentral:rRNA from 1 species
CGUUUGGUUUAGGCCAGCAUCGGUUUUUGUAGGGGGAUAAAGACUUUAGGAAAGUAGCUCCUUCGGGAGUGUUAUAGCCUAUCGUGUAAUACCUUUACGGAGACCGAGGCUCGCGCUCUGCAAGGAUGCUGGCAUAAUGGUCAUCAGCGACCCGUCUUGAAACACGGACCAAGGAGU